rnacentral:rRNA from 1 species
CCUACGGGAGGCAGCAGUGAGGAAUAUUGGUCAAUGGACGAGAGUCUGAACCAGCCAAGUAGCGUGAAGGAUGACUGCCCUAUGGGUUGUAAACUUCUUUUAUAUGGGAAUAAUAUGUUCCACGUGUGGGCUUUUGUAUGUACCAUAUGAAUAAGGCUUGGCUAACUCCGUGCCAGCCGCCGCGGUAAUUCGGAGGAUUCCGGCGUUUUCCGGAUUUAUUGGGGUUAAAGGGAGCGUAGGGGGAUUGAUCAGUCAAUUGUGAAAGUUUGGGGGUCAACCGUAAGAUUGCAGUUGAAACUGACGGUCUUGAGUACAGUAGAGGUGUGCGGAAUUCGUGGUGUAGCGGUGAAAUGCUUAGAUAUCACGAAGAACUCCGAUUGCGAAGGCAGUUCACUGGACUGCAACUGACACUGAGGCUCGAAAGUGUGGGUAUCAAACAGGAUUAGAUACCCCUGUAGUC